rnacentral:rRNA from 1 species
GACGAACCGUGCGAACGUUGUUCGGAAUCACUGGGCUUAAAGGGCGCGUAGGCGGGCCAUAAAGUCAGGGGUGAAAUCCUUCAGCUUAACUGGAGAACUGCCUUUGAUACUGAUGGUCUCGAGUAAGGUAGGGGCAUGCGGAACUGAUGGUGGAGCGGUGAAAUGUGUUGAUAUCAUCAGGAACUCCGGUGGCGAAAGCGGCAUGCUGGACCUUCACUGACGCUGAUGCGCGAAAGCGUGGGUAGCAAACAGG